UACGUAGGGUGCAAGCGUUUGUCCGGAAUUAUUGGGCGUAAAGAGCUCGUAGGCGGUUUGUCGCGUCUGCUGUGAAAACCCGAGGCUCAACCUCGGGCCUGCAGUGGGUACGGGGCAGACUAGAGUGCGGUAGGGGAGAUUGGAAUUCCUGGUGUAGCGGUGAAAUGCGCAGAUAUCAGGAGGAACACCGAUGGCGAAGGCAGAUCUCUGGGCCGUAACUGACGCUGAGGAGCGAAAGCGUGGGGAGCAAACAGG
rnacentral:rRNA from 1 species